GCUGGGCGUGGUGGUGCACACCUGUAAUCCCAGUGGCUUGGGAGGCUGAGGCAGGAGGAUCAGGAGUUCAAAGCCAGCCUCAGCAGUGAAGUCCUAAGCAACUCAUCUAAACCCUGUCUCUA
rnacentral:sRNA from 1 species